CUACGGGACGCUCCAGUGGGGAAUAUUGCACAAUGGGCGCAAGCCUGAUGCAGCCAUGCUGCGUGUAUGAAGAAGGCCUUCGGGUUGUAAAGUACUUUCAGCGGGGAGGAAGGGAGUAAAGUUAAUACCUUUGCUCAUUGACGUUACCCGCAGAAGAAGCACCGGCAAACUCCGUGCCAGCAGCCGCGGUAAUACGGAGGGUGCAAGCGUUAAUCGGAAUUACUGGGCGUAAAGCGCACGCAGGCGGUUUGUUAAGUCAGAUGUGAAAUCCCCGGGCUCAACCUGGGAACUGCAUCUGAUACUGGCAAGCUUGAGUCUCGUAGAGGGGGGGAGAAUUCCAGGUGUAGCGGUGAAAUGCGUAGAGAUCUGGAGGAAUACCGGUGGCGAAGGCGGCCCCCUGGACGAAGACUGACGCUCAGGUGCGAAAGCGUGGGGAGCAAACAGGAUUAGAUACCCGUGUAGUC
rnacentral:rRNA from 1 species